rnacentral:tRNA from 1 species
AUCUAGAUAUUUUAUAUAAAAUUUUAAUUUGUGGUGUUAAAGAUGACGUUAAGUCUCUAG